rnacentral:rRNA from 1 species
AGGCGUCGAGCGGCGGACGGGUGAGUAAUACUUAGGAAUCUACCUAGUAGUGGGGGAUAGCACGGGGAAACUCGUAUUAAUACCGCAUACGACCUACGGGAGAAAGGGGGCAGUUUACUGCUCUCGCUAUUAGAUGAGCCUAAGUCGGAUUAGCUAGAUGGUGGGGUAAAGGCCUACCAUGGCGACGAUCUGUAGCUGGUCUGAGAGGAUGAUCAGCCACACCGGGACUGAGACACGGCCCGGACUCCUACGGGAGGCAGCAGUGGGGAAUAUUGGACAAUGGGGGAAACCCUGAUCCAGCCAUGCCGCGUGUGUGAAGAAGGCCUUUUGGUUGUAAAGCACUUUAAGCAGUGAAGAAGACUCUUCGGUUAAUACCCGGAGACGAUGACAUUAGCUGCAGAAUAAGCACCGGCUAACUCUGUGCCAGCAGCCGCGGUAAUACAGAGGGUGCAAGCGUUAAUCGGAAUUACUGGGCGUAAAGCGAGCGUAGGUGGCUUGAUAAGUCAGAUGUGAAAUCCCCGGGCUUAACCUGGGAACUGCAUCUGAAACUGUUAGGCUAGAGUAGGUGAGAGGGAAGUAGAAUUUCAGGUGUAGCGGUGAAAUGCGUAGAGAUCUGAAGGAAUACCGAUGGCGAAGGCAGCUUCCUGGCAUCAUACUGACACUGAGGCUCGAAAGCGUGGGUAGCAAACAGGAUUAGAUACCCUGGUAGUCCACGCCGUA